UACGGGGGGAGCAAGCGUUGUUCGGAUUUACUGGGCGUAAAGGGCGCGUAGGCGGUCAGCACAAGUCAGUUGUGAAAUCUCCGGGCUUAACUCGGAAAGGUCAACUGAUACUGUGCGACUAGAGUGCAGAAGGGGCAACUGGAAUUCUCGGUGUAGCGGUGAAAUGCGUAGAUAUCGAGAGGAACACCUGCGGCGAAGGCGGGUUGCUGGGCUGACACUGACGCUGAGGCGCGAAAGCCAGGGGAGCGAGCGGG
rnacentral:rRNA from 1 species